GAUGAACGCUGGCGGCGUGCCUAAUACAUGCAAGUCGAGCGAACAGACGAGGAGCUUGCUCCUUCGACGUUAGCGGCGGACGGGUGAGUAACACGUAGGUAACCUACCUAUAAGACUGGGAUAACUUCGGGAAACCGGAGCUAAUACCGGAUAAUAUUUCGAACCGCAUGGUUCGAUAGUGAAAGAUGGCUUUGCUAUCACUUAUAGAUGGACCUGCGCCGUAUUAGCUAGUUGGUAAGGUAACGGCUUACCAAGGCAACGAUACGUAGCCGACCUGAGAGGGUGAUCGGCCACACUGGAACUGAGACACGGUCCAGACUCCUACGGGAGGCAGCAGUAGGGAAUCUUCCGCAAUGGGCGAAAGCCUGACGGAGCAACGCCGCGUGAGUGAUGAAGGUCUUCGGAUCGUAAAACUCCGUUAUUAGGGAAGAACAGACGUGUAAGUAACUGUGCACGUCUUGACGGUACCUAAUCAGAAAGCCACGGCUAACUACGUG
rnacentral:rRNA from 1 species